rnacentral:rRNA from 1 species
CCUACGGGAGGCAGCAGUAGGGAAUCUUCCACAAUGGGCGAAAGCCUGAUGGAGCAACGCCGCGUGGGUGAAGAAGGUCUUCGGAUCGUAAAACCCUGUUGUUAGAGAAGAAAGUGCGUGAGAGUAACUGUUCACGUUUCGACGGUAUCUAACCAGAAAGCCACGGCUAACUACGUGCCAGCAGCCGCGGUAAUACGUAGGUGGCAAGCGUUAUCCGGAUUUAUUGGGCGUAAAGGGAACGGAGGCGGUCUUUUAAGUCGGAUGUGAAAGCCUUCGGCUUAACCGGAGUAGUGCAUUGGAAACUGGGAGACGUGAGUGCAGAAGAGGAGAGUGGAACGCCAUGUGUAGCGGUGAAAUGCGUAGAUAUAUGGAAGAACACCAGUGGCGAAAGCGGCUCUCUGGUCUGUAACUGACGCUGAGGUUCGAAAGCGUGGGUAGCAAACAGGAUUAGAUACCCUUGUAGUC